GCCCGUUGACUACUUACGUUGCCCCCGUAGCCCCUCUUUCCAUGUGGAGACCACCGAAUCUCAAUAGACCGACGGUUUCUCCUUGAUUGCCGGUGGCUGCCAUCAAAGAGACAACGGCAGCCCGCUGAUCGGCUGGAUUCCGAUCGUUGCCAGCUGGAAAUGUAGAGGAGGGUGUCGGUUUUGGCCCUCUCUCUUUUCGCUGCCCAUCGUGAGGAAGAAGACCGUGAGAUUUUUUGAAGAUAUUUUUAUCCUAAAAAAAUAUUACUAGAUUACCAAGGUAAUGGUAAUAUGGAUAGCC
rnacentral:lncRNA from 1 species